rnacentral:lncRNA from 1 species
CACCCCUCCAGCCUCCGGCCUCUUUCCUUGGGAACAGAGUGACACAGCUGCACCUCCAGUUAACUGAAGAGUUCCGAUGGCCUGCUCCACAAUUACAGGGAGUAACUUUUUACUAAAAGGGAAAAGCAUCAACAGCUUCCAGCUUUUCAUGUGAGAAGUAGUACUUCCAAGACAAAUGACUGCUUUCAGGCAGCACCGUGGUGCCCAGCUUCCUGUUCCUGCCAAUUUCCUCUCCCGUUCUUCCAGCGGCUUUGUUAUUUAAAAGAAAUGCAAGGGAAGAGUGGGGCGGAGGCGGCCCUUUCACCGUGAAGAGCCCUGCUCAGCGCCCUGCGCCAUGGGUGACGACAUUUCCUGGCAGCAGGUGGCUCUCUCUGCUUAGUCUCCUCUUGUUUCCUGCUCUCCCAGGGCCCCUCGCUGCUGCAGGAGCAGUGAGCUCAGUGCCAGAACCCUGCAGGUGCAAUGCACCCGGCCUCCCAGCAGGGCUCAGCUGACACCACCCACCAGCUGACCCCGCAGCUUGGCCCAGGAUCCCCAGGAGCAGGGCAACCCCACCAGAGGGGUGGGAAACUUCCGGCAGCAAAUGACCAUGAUGGUUGUGAGGGUCAACCUUGCCGGGGUACUGCUCUCAGUCACUCAAUCAAAUCUUAACAGAGGUGUUGUGCCGAAGGUCUGUCGUAGGUGCUUUCAGGAAGAGCAUCCUUGGGAACCUGGGUGGCCUGGUUGAGUCCCUUGAAAGGCCAUAAAAGCAGAGCUGAGGCUUCCCAGAUGCAGACGAAAUAACACCCUCACGUGCCUGCUUCAGCCCCUUCCCCAAGGUUCUGGCCUGCCCUGUAGAUUUUGGACUGGCUCAGCAGCCCCUACAUUGAGUAAAACAAUUCCUUGCAAUGAAUUUCCUGUCUCCUAUCAGUCCUGUUUCUCAUUGAACACUGAUGGGUAGGGGCUGAUCCCUAACCCAGGCCAUCUCUUUUUUCCCCUCAGAAUCCAGUGCCCCCCCAAAGGCAGGGGAGGCUGACCUCCCGCAGCCCCUCAGAAUCCAGUGUCUCCACAAAGGCGGGGGAGGCUGACCUCCCACAGCCCCCCAAAAUCCAGUGUCCCCACAAAGGCAGGGGAGGCUGACGUCCCGCAGCCCC